rnacentral:rRNA from 1 species
AUUGAACGCUGGCGGCAUGCCUUACACAUGCAAGUCGAACGGCAGCACGGGUGCUUGCACCUGGUGGCGAGUGGCGAACGGGUGAGUAAUACAUCGGAACGUACCUUAUCGUGGGGGAUAACGCAGCGAAAGUUGCGCUAAUACCGCAUACGCCCUGAGGGGGAAAGCGGGGGACCGUAAGGCCUCGCGCGAUUAGAGCGGCCGAUGUCUGAUUAGCUUGUUGGUGAGGUAAAAGCUCACCAAGGCGAUGAUCAGUAGCUGGUCUGAGAGGACGAUCAGCCCCCCUGGGACUGGGACACGGCCCAGACUCCUACGGGAGGCAGCAGUGGGGAAUUUUGGACAAUGGGGGCAACCCUGAUCCAGCAAUGCCGCGUGAGUGAAGAAGGCCUUCGGGUUGUAAAGCUCUUUUGUCAGGGAAGAAACAGCAGCUCUAACACAGUCUGCGAAUGACGGUACCUGAAGAAUAAGCACCGGCUAACUACGUGCCAGCAGCCGCCGUAA